GAUGAACGCUAGCGGCAGGCCUAACACAUGCAAGUCGAGGGGUAACUAGAGUGAUAGCAAUAUUACUUUGGCUAGACCGGCGCACGGGUGCGUAACACGUAUGCAACCUACCUUAUACUGGGGAAUAACUUCGAGAAAUCGGCGCUAAUACCCCAUAACAUUGCGAAGAGGCAUCUCUUUGCAAUUAAAGCUCCGGCGGUAUAAGAUGGGCAUGCGUCCAAUUAGCUAGUUGGUGAGGUAACGGCUCACCAAGGCUACGAUUGGUAGGGGUCUGAGAGGAUGAGCCCCCACACGGGUACGGGGACACGGACCAGACUCCUCCGGGAGGCAGCAGUGAGGAAUAUUGCGCAAGGGACGAAAGUCUGACGCAGCCAUGCCGCGUGCAGGAUGACGGCCCUAUGGGUUGUAAACUGCUUUUGUACGGGAAUAAACCCUUCUACGUGUAGGAGGCUGAGGGUACCGUAAGAAUAAGCACCGGCUGACUCCGUGCCAGCAGCCGCCGUAACAC
rnacentral:rRNA from 1 species